rnacentral:rRNA from 1 species
CCCAUUAAAAGAAGGAGCAGGCGCGCAAUUACCCAAUCCUGACUCAGGGAGGUAGUGACAAGAAAUAACAAUAAACCGGCUUAUGCCGGUUUAAUUGGAAUGAGUACAAUUUAAACAUCUUAACGAGGAACAAUUGGAGGGCAAGUCUGGUGCCAGCAGCCGCGGUAAUUCCAGCUCCAAUAGCGUAUACUAAAGUUGUUGCAGUUAAAAAGCUCGUAGUUGGAUUUCUGUGGGGACGGAGCGGCCGGCCGCACAUCGCGGUUCGAGCUAGCGCUUUCCCUACAUCCUGCCGCGAACCGUGCUACCAUUAGUUUGGUGGCGCCGGGGAUCGGCUCGAUUACUUUGAGAAAAAUAGAGUGUUCAAAGCAGGCCACAUGCCUUGAAUAAGUUAGCAUGGAAUAAUAACUAAGGACUUCGGUUCUAUUUUGUUGGUGUUCGGGACUGAAGUAAUGAUUGAUAGGGACAGUUGGGGCGGUCUGUAUUCCAAAGCGAGAGGUGAAAUUCUUAGACCUUCGGAAGACAAACAGCUGCGAAAGCGUUCCGCAAGGAUGUUCCCUUUGAUCAAGAACGAAAGUUGGGGGAUCGAAGACGAUCAGAUACCGUCGUAGUCUCAACUAUAAACUAUACCAGCUAGGGAUCGGCCAACGUUAUUUUAUACCGACUUGGUCGGCACCUUAUGGGAAAUCAAAGCAUCUGGGUUCCGGGGGGAGUAUGGUCGCAAGGCUGAAACUUAAAGGAAUUGACGGAAGGGCACCACCAGCCGUGGAGCCUGUGGCUUAAUUUGACUCAACACGGGAAAACUUACCAGGUCCAGACAUAGUAAGGAUUGACAGAUUGAUAGCUCUUUCUUGAUUCUGUGGGUGGUGGUGCAUGGCCGUUCUUAGUUGGUGGAGUGAUUUGUCUGGUUAAUUCCGUUAACGAACGAGACCCCAGCCUGCUAAAUAGCGCGAGUGAGCUUUGCUCACUGCGAGCUUCUUAGAGGGACUAUGAUGCGCGAUAGCACAUGGAAGUUUGGGGCAAUAACAGGUCUGUGAUGCCCUUAGAUGUUCUGGGCCGCACACGGGCUACACUGGCGCCUGCAACGAGCAUAUCAGCUGGCCCGAGAGGGUCUUGGCUAAUCUUUUGAACCGGCGCCGUGCUUGGGAUUGACCUUUGCAAUUGUUGGUCAUGCAACGAGGAAUGCCUUGUAAACGCGAGUCAUCAGCUCGCAUUGAAUACGUCCCUGCCCUUUGUACACACCGCCCGUCGCUCCUACCGAUGAAUGUUCCGAUGAAAUUUUCGGAGAGCACCUGUGAACUUGGCUCUGCCUUGCGAACGGGAGGCUCAAAGUCAGU